rnacentral:rRNA from 1 species
AUUGAACGCUGGCGGCAGGCCUAACACAUGCAAGUCGAGCGAGCGGCGGACGGGUGAGUAAUGUCUGGGAAACUGCCUGCUGGAGGGGGAUAACUACUGGAAACGGUAGCUAAUACCGCAUACCAUCAGAUGUGCCCAGAUGGGAUUAGCUAGUGGGUGGGGUAACGGCUCACCUAGGCGACGAUCCCUAGCUGGUCUGAGAGGAUGACCAGCAACACUGGAACGGAGACACGGUCCAGACUCCGACGGGAGGCAGCAGUGGGGAAUAGUGGACAAUGGGCGCAAGCCUGAUGCAGCCAUGCCGCGUGAGUGAAGAAGGCCUUCGGGUUGUAAAGCACUUUCAGCGGGGAGGCGUUACCCGAAGAAGAAGCACCGGCUAACUCCGUGCCAGCCGCCGCGGUAAUUC